rnacentral:lncRNA from 1 species
UCACCUGGAGCCUCCUACCAGCUGGGAAUGGUGAGCCUGUGGUGGUGGACAUUUCCUAUUCAAAUCCCAAUGUUUGUGCUCAAAAUUAGAACCCCUAUAAACUUUUCUUAACAAUGUAAACAAAUACUAUAAGCUUUUCUUAACAAGAAACAGAUGUUCUCUUAAACGGCACGUGCAGAAGAGAACAUGUAAAAGAACCUCUUUGUAUAUAAUCUAAUCACACAAAAGAACACAGACUUUAUUUUUUAUACAGCUUACAGAUGCUGGAAAAGGGGACCAAAAAAAAAAAGAUACAUUGAACGUAUUGGAUGGAUCAAAGGAAAGCAGCCAGUACCUUAACCUAGGAGGUCUUCCAUGAACCAAUCAGCUUGAGCUGCUAUAACACAGCAUCACAGACGAGCUGACUUAAGAGAAAUUAGGUUCUCACAGUUCCUCCAUAAGCUGGAAGUCCAAGGUGAGCGUAGCAAACUGGUCAGGUUCUGGUAGGAUCUUUUCUUGGUUUGCAGAUGGCCCGCCUGUGUCCUCACAUGGGACAGGAGACAAGGUCUCUGAUCAAUAAACAUAUCAAAAAGGCCCAUCUGCACCACAACUCCAUUAAUCUCAUUUGAAAAUAUCAUCACAUUGAAGGAUUAGGGCUUCAACAUGUGAGGUUUGCGAUGGCACAAAUAUCCAGACCAUAAAAACCCAAACACAUAUCUCAAGAGUAACUUUCAGAGCAAAUAGCCGUACUGCAUGAAAACACUGUUUACUUAUAUAAAUAUAGAGGAUUUAUUUCCAAGUAAAAAAAGUAAAAAAUAGCUUCUCCCUGCUCUCAAGUUUCUCAUUCUUCAGUAUCUCCUGCCCAAGCCCCCAGCCUGUCUUACUAAAUGUUCGCAGUGUAUCUUCACAACCAUGGAGGCAGUGUGACCACUGUAACUACUAUUUCUAGCACCCUAAAGACUCACUCUUCGUCCUCACCCCAACAAAGCUCUGAAGGAGAAAGAGGCACCCUGCUUGGUCUGGUCUGCCUGUUAGACUUAACACUCUGUUCUCCUGGGACCUCAACUCAGGCUCAAAGCUCCACCAGAAAAGUGGACUCUAGCUCCAGUUCCAUCUCAUUGUAUGCAUCCAAUAAUAUGUCCUGAAUGCUGUACUAGAAAUGAAAUGCCAACCGAAAAACCCCUUCACUCACAAACCCUGAUCCAAAAUUCUGAGCAUACCUCAGCUGCUUUCAGACCUUCACUUCAGAAUCUACCGACUGCUUUGGUUUUUUGGCUUUCAAAGGGAGAGUAUCAUAACAUGGCCCCGCAGACACAAAACAUUUUGUUGGCAGAUAGUGCACUCCCUCCAACGAAUGAUUGCGGAUUUGUGAUUUUUCAGCAUUAUAAUGGUACAGAGGCAAUAUCUAUUCAACUAGGAAUUGAAUUGGGUCUAAGUGUGAUCUUUCCCUAGGCUGAUGAUAAGCAGGAUGAUAACUCUCACGAUGCUGGGCAGCAGGAUCAGGCCACAGCUUCCAGGAAGCCACAGGGUCAGGAGAAUGAACAACUGGGACUCCACAUUGCGCUGUGCUGCUAAAUGGUCACAUUUGGUAGGUCAGGUAUAGUAAAUAUAUAUUUUGUCUCAAACGUUACAACUUACGAUGAGUUUCUGGGACAUACAUCAUCAUAAGGUCAAGAACACUUACGCUCACUUCCCAUGUCUCUGAAAUCCUUUUUAGAUUUUGCAGAUAUAGCGACAGCUUUAGGGUGUUUCCUCCGAAUGUAUACUCUGAUGUCGAAUCAGCGAUGAGCUCCGACUAUAAGCCUUACCACAUUUGCUACAUUCAUAUGGUUUCUCUGAAGAGUGACUUCUCUGAUGUCGGAUAAGGUCGGAACCACUACUGAAAGCCUUCCCACAUUCAUUACACUCAUAGGGUCUCUCCCCAGUAUGGCUUCUCUCAUGGAGAAUGAGGGAAAUGCGCUGAGCGAAGGACUUCUUACAGAUUUUGCAUGCGUAAGGCUUCUCUCCAGUGUGAAUUCUUUCAUGCUGCGCAAGAUGAGCACUCUGGCUGAAGGCUUUCCCACACAGAUCACAUUCAUAAGGUCUGUCCUCACUGUGAAUUCUCUUAUGCCGCGUAAGAGAUAUUCGGUGGCUGAAUGCUUUCCCACAUUCUUCACACUGAUAGGGCUUCUCUCCGGUAUGAAUUCUCUGAUGUUCACUAAGAAAUGACUGGCGGCCAAACACUUUACUACAUUUAUUGCACUUGAAAGGUUUCUCUUCCGAAUGGAUGUUGAGAUGCACUUUAAGAUUUUUCAUCCCACCAAACAUCUUUCCACAUUCCUUGCAUGCAAUGAGUUUCUUUUUCCUUUUAUGAAUUUUCUGGUGCUGAAUAAAGGAUGAAAGGCGACUACACACCUUCUCACACUUGCUGCACUUAAACUGCUUCUCCCCACUAUGAAUUCUUAGGUGCAGAAUAAGGGUGGAGAGCCGUCCAAAGUCUUUCUGACAUUUAUCACAUUUGUAGGGAUUCCCUGAAGUGUGAAUUCUCUGAUGGAGCAUUAAGGCUGAGAUCCUACUAAAGGACUUCCCGCAUUUCCCACACAUAAAAGGGUUUUCCGACUGGCAAGUUUUCUGCCUGGCACUCUGAAUUAAGGCCUUCUUACUUUCAUGAGUUUUCUUUCCAAUACAAACUCUUUUAUGUACAAGGACUGGCUGCUUUUUGAAGCCUCUUUUGUAUUUAUUGUAUUUUUGUAUUUUCUUUCUGUUGUGACUCCUCUUAUGAAGUAAAAGGGAUGACAUCCGACUGAAGACUUUCCCACACUUCCUGCACUGGUGAACGCUGUCAGUAGUGUGAUUAUUACGGUGUAGACUGAGGGAGGGGCAUGAAUCUGAGGCCUUCUCAUGGUGAAAACUUUCCUUUCCAUUAUGAAUUCUUCUAUGUAUCAUAAGAGUUAACUUUUUAUUAAAAAUGUCCCCACACU